rnacentral:rRNA from 1 species
GUAGGGGGCGAGCGUUGUCCGAAGUUACUGGGCGUAAAGCGCGCGUAGGCGGGGGGUUAAGUGAGAGGUGAAAGGCUGAGGCUCAACCUCAUGCAGUGCCUCUCAUACUGGCCUUCUUGAGGGCGGUAGGGAGAAGUGGAAUGGCUGGUGUAGCGGUGAAAUGCGUAGAUAUCAGUCGGAACACCGGUGGCGAAGGCGGCUUCUUGGGCCGUUCCUGACGCUGAGGCGCGAAAGCUGGGGGAGCGAACGGGAUUAGAUACCCCGGUAGUCCCAGCCGUAAACGAUGGAUACUAGGUGUCGGGGGUAUCGACCCCCCCGGUGCCGCAGCUAACGCAUUAAGUAUCCCGCCUGGGGAGUACGGCCGCAAGGUUGAA